rnacentral:rRNA from 1 species
GCUUACCAUGCAGUCGAGCGGUAAGGCCCUUUCGGGGGUACACGAGCGGCGAACGGGUGAGCAACACGUGGGUGACCUGCCCUCAGCUCUGGGAUAAGCCCGGGAAACUGGGUCUAAUACCGGAUAUGACUCCAUGACGCAUGUUGUGGGGUGGAAAGCCUUGUGCGGCUGAGGAUGGGCCCGCGGCCUAUCAGCUUGUUGGUGGGGUGAUGGCCUACCAAGGCGACGACGGGUAGCCGGCCUGAGAGGGCGACCGGCCACACUGGGACUGAGACACGGCCCAGACUCCUACGGGAGGCAGCAGUGGGGAAUCUUGCGCAAUGGGCGAAAGCCUGACGCAGCGACGCCGCGUGAGGGAUGACGGCCUUCGGGUUGUAAACCUCUUUCAGCUCCGACGAAGCGGAAGUGACGGUAGGAGCAGAAGAAGCACCGGCCAACUACGUGCCAGCAGCCGCGGUAAUACGUAGGGUGCAAGCGUUGUCCGGAAUUAUUGGGCGUAAAGAGCUCGUAGGCGGUCUGUCGCGUCGGCUGUGAAAACUCGGGGCUCAACUCCGAGCUUGCAGUCGAUACGGGCAGGCUAGAGUUCGGCAGGGGAGACUGGAAUUCCUGGUGUAGCGGUGAAAUGCGCAGAUAUCAGGAGGAACACCGGUGGCGAAGGCGGGUCUCUGGGGCCGAUACUGACGCUGAGGAGCGAAAGCGUGGGGAGCGAACAGGAUUAGAUACCCUGGUAGUCCACGCCGUAAACGUUGGGGCGCUAGGUGUGGGAUCCCUUUCCCCGGUUUCCGUG